CUAAAUGCAGUCGAACGGAGGUACGGGGGGAAUUUAUUCCGCCUGUACUUUAGUGGCGAACGGGUGAGUAACGCGUGAGCAACCUGUCCAUCUGAGGGGGAUAACAACGAGAAAUCGUUGCUAAUACCGCAUGAGACCACAACACCGCAUGGUGAAGGGGUCAAAGGAGCAAUCCGCAGAUGGAGGGGCUCGCGUCCCAUUAGAUAGUUGGUAGGGUAACGGCCUACCAAGUCGACGAUGGGUAGCCGAGCUGAGAGGCUGAUCGGCCACACUGGAACUGAGACACGGUCCAGACUCCUACGGGAGGCAGCAGUGGGGAAUAUUGGGCAAUGGGCGCAAGCCUGACCCAGCAACGCCGCGUGAGGGAAGACGGUUUUCGGAUUGUAAACCUCUGUCCUAGGGGACGAAAAAAAUGACGGUACCCUGGGAGGAAGCCCCGGCUAACUACGUGCCAGCAGCCGCGGUAAUACGUAGGGGGCGAGCGUUGUCCGGAAUUACUGGGCGUAAAGGGUGCGUAGGCGGCAUGUUAAGUUGGGUGUGAAAUACCUGGGCUCAACCCAGGAGGUGCAUUCAAAACUGGCAAGCUAGAGUGCAGGAGAGGAAAGUGGAAUUCCUAGUGUAGCGGUGAAAUGCGUAGAUAUUAGGAGGAACAUCAGUGGCGAAGGCGACUUUCUGGACUGUAACUGACGCUGAGGCACGAAAGCGUGGGGAGCAAACAGGAUUAGAUACCCUGGUAGUCCACGCUGUAAACGAUGAAUACUAGGUGUAGGGGGUAUCAACUCCCUCUGUGCCGCAGCAAACGCAAUAAGUAUUNCCGCCUGGGGAGUACGGUCCCNAAGACUGAAACUCAAAGGAAUUGACGGGGGCCCGCNCAAGCAGCGGAACCAUGUGGUUUUANUUCNAAGCACCNCGAAGAANCCUUACCAAGGCUUGGACCUCCUUACUAAAGCNUAUGGAAAACAUAGUGUGNCCNUUUUGGGCNAAAUAAANAACAGGUGGUGCAUGGNUNGUCCCUCCCCCUCCNUGUUCCUGNAAAUGUUUGGGUUAA
rnacentral:rRNA from 1 species